GAAAAAUCCAGGAACAAAUUCUCCCUACCAGCACCAGCAAGGACCCAAAGACCCCAGAGGGGGUCUCUUCAGCUGCCUGCCUGCCUGAGAUCACCCGGCGGGUGCACGACCUCCCGGACUGUGCAACAAAAGACCCAGAAAGGAAGGUAGCCACGUGGGCACCCUUGAAACACCCCCAAGACCUCCCCCCACCCCCGUUCUCAAACCUCCUGAUUGGGCCAGUCCUUAGACCAACUCUGCAGAGGC
rnacentral:lncRNA from 1 species